CACAGGGUGUCUCUGCUACUUUAAGGGCCUGGAGCUGGCAGCCUCCAGGUGCCUGAUUAGGGCAGCCAUUUUGAGGCUUAGGCUGCUUAUAUAAACAAGGCAGUUUGGCUGUAGGAGGUCAGGCAGCAACAUUGUCUGGCUGUAGGGCUGCUGUGAACGACCUGGAGGUUGCUGCAGUAUGUUCUUUAUAGGACUACUCUUGUAGACCAUUUGAAAACAACAGCUGGCACAGAAGCUUUACAAGGCUUGGAUCCUUGAUACCUGAAGACUAUGCCUCUCCUCAAGAGUACCGUUUUGAAUUAAGGAGGAACUGCCUUACCUAAUGGCUCCCAGAUUUGAAUGACUUGGAGACGGUGUGAGGUAUGCCUCAGUGGCCUCCACCCCCAGCUCCUUAUUUGCUUGCCUCAUACAGGUAGGAUAGGGCAUGUCAAGCAAUGGAAUUACAUGGAAAAACCUACUCUUACCUUUUAGUCCUUUCAGCAUUGUAAAGAAAAUAAAAUUUAAUGCUGUAGUAAAUGCUACAUAAAAAAACUUUUUUUAUAAAUCUUGAAGUCAAUAAAUAACUUUUUUUUUUUUUGUCACAAAGGCUACUAAACCGAUAUCGGAUAGUAAUUAAUAAUGGGUUACUAAUGACAGGCUGAAUUUAAGCCAGCAACCUAAAGUUGAAAGGCUUCAUAUACUAUUACUAUCUUCCCAAGACAUACAGUUUCGUGACCUCAUGUAGAUUUGCGUCAAUAAACUAGAAGUAAAAGUCUCUGUUUCCCAUUACUGAUCCACUGAGCCAGCUAGGCCCCGACCUCACUUGGAUUUGCACCAAUGGAACAGAGAUAAAAGGCUAUGAAUACCAUUAAGUAUCCAUUGAACCAGCUAUCCCCUGACUUCACUUGGAUCUGCACCAAUGGAGUAGGGGUGAAAGGCUGUGUCGCAUUGCUGAUCCACUGAGGAAGCUAGCCAGCUUCACUUAAAUAAAGAUUUAAAGUAUGAUGACGUACUGGAAAAAAAAUAAGGAGCAUCUGAGAAUUAGAACUAUAUAACAAUAAUAUUAGACAAGUAUCAUAAAUAUUCUUAAGUAUCUUGCUUUCUGACAAACUUCAACCAGCUUAGUGAAACAGUAUUCUCCUUUAAUGCCAUUAAAUUGCCUCACUUUAAUAUGAUCAAGAUUUUUGUAUAUAAUAAAUAUUUUCUCAUGUACACUCCAUCUAUUUCACACACCUGAUUCAUUAAGGUAGACCCUAUGCAGUGUCUGUGAUAUAAGAGACCUACUGUUAUGUCAACUAAUAGCCUAAGACAUUGUGGUAUAAACCAGAAAAAAGUGUUUCAUGAGACAAAGUUCUGUUAAUUCAGAGGUAUUUUGAUCAUUAGUUAUGGUGAGCAAAGUAACGUACAAAAGUACAGACAGUUUCAUGGGAGUUUACUAAAAAAAGUAUAUGAUUUAUAGCUGAGAUGACCAGGACAAAAUGUGAGUAACCAUUUAUCAAGUGUGCAUUGACUAUUAUGAAGAACAUCUGUUGUUCUCUGGACAGGCAAUAUGAAAUCUCUGUUGUGGAUUGUGAGCAUUAUUUCCAAGGAUGAUUGGAUAAUAGUAACAAGUACAUUACAGACCUGUGGGGCACAGCAUAAAUCAUGUUCAGUAUUCAUUUGCUUUAUACCCUGAUGCAAGCUUUACCACAAAAAGUAACUUCUGUUUACAAUCUUCAUUUAAACUGAUGUAGUCUCAUUUUCCUGUAAUUUCAUUAACAGCCUAACUGGUACCACCAUAGAUAAAUCCUGCAAUACUGAGUUGAUUUUUUUGCUUGUGACUCAUUAUUUUUUUUUUUUAAAUUAGUGUAAGCUGUUUUGUACCAUCCUCUAAUACAUUCUUAAAAUAAAGAUGGUAAUUCAAAAGUCAUAAAAUACAAAAGGUAAGGUUAUGCCUAUGACAUCUCAACUCUGUCCUUCCCCGUAUUGGUAUAUUAAAUAGCAACAGCUCCAUAAACUAGGCAAACAAAAGUGAGAAGAUUGUGUGACGGGCUAGCUGGCAGUGACUUAGCCCAGGUGUUUUGAAGGGGCAAAAGAUGAUUGGAGGACUUGGGAUUCCCUUUCCUCACCAAUCAGGCCCCAGAUACUCACCCUCCGUGUCCCCUGAUUGGCCCCUUGGGUCACCUGGAGUGGAAUAAAAGGGGCAGCACAGCUGACUCAAGGGGGGACCAGUGAGGGACCACAAGGAAGGAGCUUCAAAUUGCUGGACCAGCAGGGCAGGAGCAGUUGCCCCAGAAGCACCUGAAGGAGUGGGACCUGCAGGCAGCAGUUGGACCCUCAGCAGCGCGGCAUGUGGCCGGCAGGAGAGGCUUCCUGCUGGGCUCCAGGUUCCCCUAUGAGAGGCUGUCACCAGCAGGAGAGGCUUCCUAGCUCCAGCAAAGAUUUGAGCAACAAUCUGAGAGGUUCCCAGCCCUGUUUCCAGCUUCUCCAAUAAGAGGCCAGGCAGCUCGAUGUGAGGCGAGGGUUCCAGAAAGGGCAAGGCCCCUCACCAGUGUGCAUAAUGCCAACAGUGGUGGCUGUGUGGUAGUGUUUCUGCCUACCAUGCAGAAAAUCUGAGUUCAAGUCCCAGCUGUGGUGACUUGGGAUAAAUGAAAUAACAAGGAGAAAUCUUUGUUGCAGUGGAAAGUGGUCAUUAUGUUUUCCCUCUUUCCCCCCCUCCAGGUACCCAGGCCCUAUAUUCCUUGUUACUUGACAUUUUGUAUUUUGUGCCUUUUAUAUUUCCCCAACCAGUAUUGUUUGUUGUGCUGUUUGUGUUUAUAUAUUUUGUUAACCCUGUCUUUUGUCAAUGAUUGUAAGUGUUUAACCUUUGUUGAAUCCUGCCCCCUUGGGGCGUUGUAUUUUCCCUUAUAGCUCUUGGUUUAUGCCUGUUAUGUUCCCAGUACUGUUUUUUCAUUAAAAGGUAUAUGGUUAAGGCCUCA